rnacentral:misc_RNA from 1 species
AACUUCUCAACCCCAUCAUUUCCGAUGUGGCUUGGAUGUGGGGGUUCUUUUGUUUGCAGGCCUCUGAAUGAGGUCGGCUCCCCUGAAAUGCAUUAGUGGUAUCUGAGCAGAACUACUGUACCAUUAGGUGUGAUAAGUUAUCUAUGCCUUUGGUGUGCUGCAUGAACAGAUUGUGCUGCUUCUAACAUAUUUGACAA